UCUUCUAAAAUGUCAUAUUUUAUAAGGCACUUUAAAAUCUAUGGAAUGGUUGAUUUACACAAUCAGUUUGCAUUUGCAGUGAUUGAACUUAUAAAAGGAGAUCCUAUAUUAAUCGGACCCUUUAAGCCAAAAAAAAUUCAUCAGACUGGUAAACAUUGUGAGACACAUCAUACUGAACAUCAAUGCAUACAACUUCUAGAUGAGCAUAUUAAGAAGAAUAAGAGUAUGAUAAAAGCUAUAUACAUGUUUACAAAAUAUAGUCCCUGUUUAGGUAUAAAAGGCCAUUUUGAUCCUUGUAUGAGCAAGUUAGCUAAUUUCUCUGAAGAAAUGAUUAAUAAAUAUAACAUAGAUCUUUACAUCACCUUUCAGGACAUGUAUGGUGCAUCAGGGAAUAUAGUUAAAGUGCUGAAGGAUCCGAGAAGUUCUAAAGAUCCUUUCAUUAGAAAUAAAGUACUGGAGUUAAAAGAAAUGAUGAACAAAAAACUCUGUAGAUCAAAAUUUAUAGGGAAGAUUUUCCAGGAAAACCAAAGAAUAAGCACAAGUAAAACCAUCAAAAGCUUUAUUAAAAAAGAAAUGCUUGAAUGUAACUUAAUGAAGAGGGAAGAUGUGAGCUACAUUUUAAAAGUCAUUUCAGUUAAAUUUCCAAGUAAACCAAUGGCAUUCUAUGAAUUCAAGAACUAUGGAGAAGGACAGGCCAAUGAGAUAAAAAAACAGCUAAGAAACCUGAAUGUUAGUGAAGAAAUAACUGAAAAAAUAUGUGCAAUCUUUUAUUCGAAGUGGUGUCAUUUAGUUUAUAAAGAAUAUGAGGAGUUUAUAUAUCAGAAGUUCAGUGAUUAUAUUAACACCUGUGCUGUUGCAUUCACUUAUAAAGACAUAAAAACCAUCACAAACCAUUUUAAUCUGGAAAGAGUCGAAUUAACUCUUUAGAAAGAACUCCAGAUGCUUUAUGUUUGUUUUUGCAUGUCUAUCUUGUUUUUCCGGAUCAUUUAGCUGGAAUCUAUGAUCUGUCAGUUUUAGUCUGUUCCUGUCCUCUUCUCAUUUGAUGUAAAAUGAUUAAUUUGAGUAUUUCUCUGUAAUCAUCUCCAUAAAGAGAUGAUGAGAUGUAUCCAUCUACAGACUAGAGACACUGU
ensembl:lncRNA